CCUACGGGUGGCAGCAGUGAGGAAUAUUGGUCAAUGGGCGCGAGCCUGAACCAGCCAAGUAGCGUGAAGGAUGACUGCCCUAUGGGUUGUAAACUUCUUUUAUAAAGGAAUAAAAUGAGCCACGUGUGCCGUUUUGUAUGUACCUUAUGAAUAAGGAUCGGCUAACUCCGUGCCAGCAGCCGCGGUAAUACGGAGGAUCCGAGCGUUAUCCGGAUUUAUUGGGUUUAAAGGGAGCGUAGAUGGAUUGUUAAGUCAGUUGUGAAAGUUUGCGGCUCAACCGUAAAAUUGCAGUUGAUACUGGCAGUCUUGAGUACAGUAGAGGUGGGCGGAAUUCGUGGUGUAGCGGUGAAAUGCUUAGAUAUCACGAAGAACUCCGAUUGCGAAGGCAGCCCACUGGACUGCAACUGACAUUGAUGCUCGAAAGUGUGGGUAUCAAACAGGAUUAGAUACCCGUGUAGUC
rnacentral:rRNA from 1 species